rnacentral:rRNA from 1 species
CACUAUGCUCAGUCGUAAACCUUGACAGCUAACCACGCCCGCUGUCCGCCCGGGUAUUACGAGCUCUAGCUUGAAACCCAAAGGACUUGGCGGUGCUUCAGACCCACCUAGAGGAGCCUGUCCUAUAACCGAUAGUCCCCGUUGAACCUCACCCCCUUUUGCCCAAAUCCGUCUAUAUACCGCCGUCGCCAGCUUACCCUAUGAAGGGCCAGUAGUGAGCUUAAUUAGCAUAGCCCAGAAUGACAGGUCGAGGUGUAGCUAACGAGGGGGGAAGAGAUGGGCUACAUUCCCUAAAGAAGGGAACACGAAAGAUGACCUGAAAUGCAAACUAGAAGGAGGAUUUAGCAGUAAGCAGAAACCAGAGAGUUCCGCUGAAGCAGGCCCUGAAGCGCGUACACACCGCCCGUCACUCUCCCUGAACUAAGAAAUAAAAAUAACUAAUACCAGACAUGGUGCCAAGGGAGACAAGUCGUAA